AUUGAACGCUGGCGGCAGGCUUAACACAUGCAAGUCGAGCGGGGAAGGGUAGCUUGCUACCUAACCUAGCGGCGGACGGGUGAGUAAUGCUUAGGAAUCUGCCAUUUAGUGGGGGACAACAUUCCGAAAGGAAUGCUAAUACCGCAUACGUCCCACGGGAGAAAGCAGGGGAUCUUCGGACCUUGCGCUAAAUGAUGAGCCUAAGUCGGAUUAGCUAGUUGGUGGGGUAAAGGCCUACCAGGGCGACGAUCUGUAGCGGGUCUGAGAGGAUGAUCCGCCACACUGGGACUGAGACACGGCCCAGACUCCUACGGGAGGCAGCAGUGGGGAAUAUUGGACAAUGGGCGGAAGCCUGAUCCAGCCAUGCCGCGUGUGUGAAGAAGGCCUUAUGGUUGUAAAGCACUUUAAGCGAGGAGGAGGCUACUUAGAUUAAUACUCUAGGAUAGUGGACGUUACUCGCAGAAUAAGCACCGGCUAACUCUGUGCCAGCCGCCGCAGUAAAAC
rnacentral:rRNA from 1 species